rnacentral:sRNA from 1 species
GGGCGACGGUAACCACCUCAUUAUCAGGU